rnacentral:lncRNA from 1 species
UCCAGAUCCAUCCCGUGCGGAUGUUGGGCGUUCAACAUGGAUUGGUGUGGGUGUUCGUGAGUUUGUCGCUGUCUUCUUGCUCAGCGAUAUAGGAUAGAGGAAGUUCAUCCUAUUCUUCUUAAUUGAGCAGCGGUAGUCUGCAGCAAGCCAAGUACGCAGGUACGAGGGAGUGCUCCAUCCGAGGGAAUUCCUAUAGGGCCAGGGAUGCUUCUACACCACCAGCAUGAUCACGCUUCCUCCUUGGAAUUCCAUGGAAGGUUUGUCCCCAUUAUUUCAUUUUUCUCGUUCUAUUGACCUUACGACCUUGCUCCCAUUCCGCACGGCUACCUCUCGGCUCCUCCUUUGUGGUGUGUGCGUGCGUGCGUGCGUCGGUGAUCAGGGCUUCCACUUAUGGGAAGAGGAGGUUGUUGCGUGAUGUGUUGUUCCCAGGACUGCCCAUCACAUGUUUGAGGUAAUGCCAAAGUUAAACUAGGACACUUUGUUUUAAUGUUCUCUUCCAGUCAUGACCGAGAAUCUUGACCAUGUUACACUAUUCAUUGCUUUAUUGAUCACACGACUAUUCUUCAGCACACAAUUCAUCAGCUGAUUGGCCGUAAACAGUUCAGACAUAUAAUUUGAAAGCAGGUACAUAGUAUAACUUCUCUUGUUGCUUUAUUUUGUACCUAUAGGAAAAAUAACUGUAGUUUUUGAUACUUUGGUUUUUUUAGUACUUUGCUAUCAAACAUGGCCUUAGUUUAAGUGUAAAUGAUUGUUCUCAUGAAAGCCAGCAUGACCAUGUAAGUUGUUCUCAUACAUUGAUUUCAUACGAUAUUAUACUUUGUGCUAAUUUAUUUACAUAGACUAAUAUUCAUAAAUUACUCAAUGUUUUGUAGGACUAAUGGUCCAUCAUAAUAUAUAGAAGCAUCAGGAGGCACUCUAAUCUCCAAUAAAGAAUGACAUCAAUACGAACAAGAAUGGUGUCCCUCAAUUGAAGCUUAAUAAAUAUUAUCUUUCAUAGUUGUCUCCUUUUCCAGUUAGAUAAGGGCAAGUACAUUGGUCAUAUAAGGAGUGCUUUUGAAUUGAAAAUUUUGAAGGAUACUUUUGUUCCAUUAUUGUAUGUCGAAAUAUUGUUAUUAAUUUGAUUUUUACUAAUAAAAGAAGUUAUGGUCCUUUCAAUUCAGAUUUUGUUUUCUAUAUGUGGAUGUUAAUAUUCAAAUGUUGGAUGUUGCAUAAAGUGAUCCUUGAAUGGAAAGAAUACCAAAUAUAAGUUGUCCUACGCUAUAUAAAAGUGAAGAGAGUGAUCGUAAUAUUAGAAAGUAGUCGUUAAUGAUAGUUUCGGUCAACAUUAGAACAUUAU